AGCUCAUUUUUUAGCUCAUUUUGAAUGUUGUUCUUUAUUUUGUGAGUUCAUUAAUGGAUUGUUGAUUUGCUUCUUUGUAAUUUUGAUACAAAAGAAACUCCUCAGAACACUGUUUCAUUUUUUGUAUUUGUGGAUAAUAACUCUCACCCACAUCCACAAAAAUGGCUUUGCACUACUGCUAGUACUACUUGUGGUCUACUAGUUGUAGACAUCUACUUAAAUGUGGAUGCCUCAAACUUUGUUUCUGACCUGUUUUUGAAUUUUUUCAGCACAAUAUUUGAGAUCUUCCAGCCUACUUCAUGAUGUCAGACCGGAUCUAUCUGAGGGAUUUCUGGAUUCCACAGGUCUAGACGUGUCAAAUAUAUCUCAGCUUUCUAAAAAUAAUUCUAACUGAACUAAUUGAAUGUAAAUUGAUUACUUGAAACAUUUAAAUGUGACAAAAAAGCAAAAAUCUGUGAGGGAGCAAACGUUUUUAUAGCACCAAGUAUGGUGCUAUAAAAAAGCACCAUACAUGGUGUCAAAUGACAAACAUGUCAUUUGGUCUACAUUCAGACCAUUUUUGCCAACAUGUGACUAUCAAACCUAAUGAAGGCCUGGUAAACCUUUAAACGAAAUCUCUGUGGAUUCCUCUGUUUAAAGCUCUUUACUGACUGCUUUGACUGCCUGUCAGAGGCUCUGGCAACUGCCUGUAAACCAGGGAUGUCCAAACAUUUUGUCAUGUCAUUUUGUCAAAAUUAUUAGCUCCAAAUUAUUCGCGGGCCAAAAAAUAUAUAUUUUUUAAAACUAAAAUGACCAAAAAUGUGAUAAAAAAACUCAGCUAAACUAUAAAUUAAGCAUGAAUUAUUUUAAUUAAACAAAUAAUCAGAUGUUGCAUAGGAUUGGGAUUGUUGAUCCUAAACUUUAGAUGAUUUUUCCUUGUUAAAUGAAAAAGCAUCUAGUUUGCUUAUUAUUUAAAGCUUGACUAACAGAAACUUAAAAAACAUUUUUUAUUAUUUUCAACAAUAAGAACAGCAUCUUGGUCAGUCUUCAUUUUAAAACACUUGCUGUACUUAGUCAAGUUUAAUACAGCAAAUAAAAGCAAAUCUCUUUACACCAAGGUGGAUUUUAGACUACAACUCAAUGUGGUUGUAGUUACCAUGACGAUAUAACCAAAACAGAAAGCUUGGAAAAGGGGACCAUUUUGUAUUGCAUCUAACAUUCCUUGAUUGAAGAGGAGCAUGCGAUCCAAACAGCUGGUUAUCUCGGGGGAAACAGGAUUGAAGCCUGGCCUACAAAUGCAGGCUGAACUCACUUGAGUUAUUCAAAGUUGCUUCCUAAAAUGAGAGUAAGCGCUGACGACAGAGGCCCAGAGGUCAGUUGUGAGAGCGGGUUAUAGAUCACCGAGCUCCUCUGUUUGUGCAAUCUGUCGACCUUUUCCUUUCCCCUCUGAACUGUUUAUGUUUAGCUUCGCCUUUUACCUCUGACUCUUGUUUAGCUUAGCAGGGAACAUGUUAGCAAGCAAGCAGAGGAGGAGAGUUUGCCCACUCACCUAGGUAAGCCUAUUACAGAAUUAUGGCAGCAGCUGAGACUUUGCAGUGACAAGAUGCUCACACAUUUAUCACCUCAGAUGUGUUUACUCCAGUUCUGAGUUGUCAUUUCACAUUUUCAGACUUUCUAUUUUGCUAUGAAAAGCUCUCGGUGUGAGGCAAUGUUGGUGUUGGGAGAUGUAGUGAGAGGAGAGGAACUAAGUGUCUUCAUCUACUUCAAAGUAAAUCACUUCACCUCUUAAGCCCAUUAUUCAUCCUCUGCCAAUGUCACCUCCCACAGUGUGACUUCUGUCCAACAGCUCAUGAGCCAAAAAAUGUUCAAUUUUAUACCAAUAAACAUGUCUGAAUCUAUU